GCUGCCGGAGGCCGAAGCGAGAGCCCUGGGGCAGAGGCGCACAGAGAGGGGAAGACGGAGACGCGACAGGACGACCCGCAGACGCAGGAGCACAGGCGCGCUCCGAGAUCUAGUCCUCAGAUGCGGGCGCGGGUGCGCCCCCUGCCCUCCCGCCCGGAGUCGCGCACAGGGUUGCGACGCAGCUACACAAGGGCGCCCGGGAAAGCAGCACGGCCGUGUUACACAACCACCUCAGACACACACGUGGGUUCGCACAUACAGGCGAGACUCCCAGGACCCAGACACAGCUCAGAGUCACACACAGAGGUGAUGCUGAGACACCAGGCACUCACACCCGGGAGCCUGGCCCUUAGGAGACACACAGCUUCCGACCAGGGGUGGAACACCCGCAGCUGCUCCCCCUCCAAGUUGAAAGGCGAAGUCUUAACCGCUGGACCACCAGGGAAGUCCCCCUGGGCAUCAUGUAUUGACCUUUAGGAGGAUGACGACAUGAGCAAUACCUGCUUGAUACUGCUGUGAGGCUCACAAGAGGAAAAGCACUCGGGACAGUAUCUGGCACCACUGGAGAAAUGGCAAAGGAAGAAGCCACACCUGCCCAGAGACUCACAGUCUCAGAAACACCCCUACAGAGGGAAUGAAGAACUCCACACACCUGAGAGGACAAAGCUCUGGAGGAACGACGUGGACGGGCAGCAGGGGCGUGAAAGCUGAGGGGCUGGAGGGGCUUCCAUUCUUCACUCGACAAGCUGCCACUUUUUUCUCAGCGUUGCCACUCUGGGGGCAGCAGAGCCAGGGCGGCUGCGGCGGGAAUCCACGCUUCCUGCUGAGGCCGAGGGCUCUGGAGGGCCGCUGCGGAGCUGGAGCUCACAGCUGUGCCGGGGGACUCUAACGCUGUCUGCACGAGACAGAGAUGUGGCUUUAAGUAACUCCAACACUGCGAGCUGCAGACGCCAGGACGCUGCACUCCACGGGCCAGUGCUUGCUGAGCGCCCGAGGGAGGGAGGCCCUCCCAGACAGGCACGCGGGGCAGCAGAGACGGGGAGCGAGCCCCCGGGCCCCGCGGCACCAGUUCUGCGCCUGUCCCCAGGUCCCCAGGCACUCCCCACGGUGGCUCAGCUCUGGAGCCGGGGC